AUGUUCUGGCUAGCGGAGUGCCGCGGUGAGCUAUUUCUCAUUGUCUCUGAGUACCGUGCACUCAGGUACCAUGUUUUCCGGUUGCAAGAGAGGAAGUGGGUGAGGACUACUAGCCUCGGUGGGUGUAGCUUGUUCUUUAAUACUAAAAAGAAUUUUGCUGGUUGCCUUGGUCCAGAUCAUCCGACAGUUCGAAGGAACUGCUUGUACUUCAUUAGGGUCCCUGGUCAGUGUAUCGAGUAUUCUUUGGUUGAUGGAUCUUCGCAUAAACUCGCUGCCGACUACCCAGGGCGAGCAACGGAGGAUUACGGACCAUUUGCUUGGGUCCUCCCAAGCAUUUGCUGA
rnacentral:rRNA from 1 species